rnacentral:rRNA from 1 species
GAUGAACGCUGGCGGCGUGCCUAAUACAUGCAAGUCGAGCGAACAGACGAGGAGCUUGCUCCUCUGACGUUAGCGGCGGACGGGUGAGUAACACGUGGAUAACCUACCUAUAAGACUGGGAUAACUUCGGGAAACCGGAGCUAAUACCGGAUAAUAUAUUGAACCGCAUGGUUAAAUAGUGAAAGACGGUUUUGCUGUCACUUAUAGAUGGAUACGCGCCGCAUUAGCUAGUUGGUAAGGUAACGGCUUACCAAGGCGACGAUGCGUAGCCGACCUGAGAGGGUCAUCGGCCACACUGGAACUGAGACACGGUCCAGACUCCUACGGGAGGCAGCAGUAGGUAAUCUUCCGCAAUGGGCGAAAGCUUGACGUAGCAACGCCGCGUGAGUGAUGAAGGUCUUCGGAUCGUAAAACUCUGUUAUUAGGGAAGAACAAAUUUGUAAGUAACUAUGCACGUCUUGACGGUACCUAAUCAGAAAGCCACGGCUAACUACGUG